AGCGCAGGCGGAUAGGUCAGUCUAAAGUGGAAUCCCGGGGCUCAACCUCGGAACUGCUUCGGAUACUGCCUGUCUUGAGUUCGUGAGAGGAAAGCGGAAUUCAGGGUGUAGCGGUGAAAUGCUUAGAUAUCCUGAGGAACACCAAUGGCGAAGGCAGCUUUCUGGCGCGAUACCGACGCUGAGGCUCGAAAGCGUGGGGAGCGAACG
rnacentral:rRNA from 1 species